ACAGGCUAUGUAUGUAGAAGCCCUGCCGGAAGGUUCUCGGACGCGGGUUCGAUUCCCGCCGCCUCCACCA
rnacentral:tmRNA from 1 species